rnacentral:rRNA from 1 species
CAGUAGCCGCGGGAAUACGGAGGGAGCUAGCGUUGUUCGGAAUUACUGGGCGUAAAGCGCACGUAGGCGGUUAUUCAAGUCAGAGGUGAAAGCCCGGGGCUCAACCCCGGAACUGCCUUUGAAACUAGAUGACUAGAAUCUUGGAGAGGUCAGUGGAAUUCCGAGUGUAGAGGUGAAAUUCGUAGAUAUUCGGAAGAACACCAGUGGCGAAGGCGACUGACUGGACAAGUAUUGACGCUGAGGUGCGAAAGCGUGGGGAGCGAACAGGAUUAGAUACCCCCGUAGUCCCUGUCUCUUAUAC